GUGUACAACCUUUUGAAUUCUGGGUCUCGUGCCCACUUAAACUGGUGGGAAUGAGAAUUGUUUCUACACUUUUAAAUAUUUUAAGAAGGCCUAAAUUUGAGAACCAGGUUUGCAGUACCGGCGGAUUGAGUGCGAAAUUGAAGCCAAACGAGAUAGCGACCAAGGGGUUGAACAUCCAACAAAGAUCGAAAUUUAAAUUUUUUGCCAAAGGGGAUUCACCGACUUCACUUGUGAAAGAAUUUGGCUUUGUCGUGGCAUUGGGAUCUACGAAAUGACAGAGAAAGGUAAAGAAAUAGUGGAAGUAUUAGAUGAUGAAGUUUUAGUAGAAUCCAAUAAUGACAACAAUACAGACAAUAUCUUCACAUUGAAAGAUGAUAUUUUAGGAGGAGAUGGCGUGAUUGUGCCUAAAGUUGGUAUGAAGUUCAAAGAUGAAAAGAGUUGUUAGACUUUUAUAAGAGAUAUGUGUAUGACGUAGGUUUUCCGAUUAGGAGGAGGAAUUCUAGAAAGGGAGAAGAUGGAGUAGUGAAUUACGUUACGUUGACAUGUUGUCGUGAGGGCCGAAGAUGCAGCAAUGCAGGUGCUUCUUUGAAGCUGCAUCCAACCAUUCAAACAGGUUGCAAAGCAAGACUUACUGCUUCUUCAGAUAUUCGUGGAAUAUGGAAAAUUUGCACAGUUGAUCUUGAACACAAUCAUAAAACUAGUCCUUCAAAAUCUAGAUUAUAUUGCUACAAUUUGGAAUUGAGUGCAAAUAUCAAAUGCAAGCUCAAAGUGAAAGAUGUGGCUGGAAUAUCUUUACACAAGAGUUACAACUCAGCAGAUGUUGAAGCAGGUCAUUGAAAAGGAUUGUCGAAAUUACGUUGAACGAGUGAGGCAAUUGAGACUUGGUAAAGGAGAUGCCGCGGCAAUACAAUCCUAGUUUUCACAAAUGCAAGCAUAGUGCUCAAAUUUUUAAUUCUGUAUAGAUUUGGAUGAAAGAGUCCCGACUUAGGAAUCUCUUUUGGGCAAAUAAGAGGUGUAGGCAAGCGUAUAAAGAGUUUGGGGAUGUAGUGACAUUUGAUACCACUUAUCUCACUAAUAAAUAUGACAUGCCUUUUGCCCCCUUUGUUGGUGUAAAUCAUCAUGGACAAUCAACACUCCUUGGAUGUGAUUUGCUGGAAAAUGAAGAUAUAGAUACAUUUGUUUAACUAUUCAGGACUUGGAUGCAGUGCAUGUACCAAUCAAGACAGGGCCAUGUGAAAUGCAAUUGAGAUAAUCUUUUCAAACAAAAGGCAUAGAUGGUGUUUGUGGCAUAUAUUAAAGAAGUUGCCGGAGAAGUUUGGAUACCACGUUCAGAAGGGCUCCAUUUUUUCAGUCUAUAAAUGACUUAGUGUAUAAUACACAGGUCGUUGAAGAAUCCAGAGAAGGUUAGAAAGUUAUGUUUGAUACAUAUGACUUAUAUGAUAAUGAUUGGUUGUCGGGGUUGUUUAAGAACAGGGGUUGUUAGGUGCCAUGUUAUUUGAAAAUAGGUUUUUGGACGAGAAUGUCAACAAUUCAGUACAGUGAGAAUAUAAAUAUGUUCUUUGAUGGGUAUGUCCAUUCUAAUACAUCGUUGAAAAAGUUUGUCGAAUAAACGAACGAGCAUUACGAAAUAAAUUUGAGAAAGAAUUUCAAGCAAAUUUCAAGUCUUACUCAUAGAUGUUACCCUGUGUGACAAAAUAUGAAAUGGAAAAACAAUUCCAAGCUGCUUAUACCAUUUCAAAAUUUUGGGAAUUUCAAGAUGAGAUAACUAGGAAGGUCUAUUGCGAUGUGAUAUCUUCAAGAGGUUGAGGAAAAUGUCAUUUACGAAAAAGAAUGUUAGAAAGAAAAAGUUUUCAAUCACAUUUCGGGCAGAGGAUUGCAAUAUUAUUUGCAGUUGCCAUUUAUUCGAGUUUUGUGUAAUUUUGUGUAGACAUGUCAUAUCAGUGUUAAUACGUAAUGGCGCCAUAUCACUAUCGGAGAGGUACAUAUUGUGGAGAUGGAGACGAGAUGUUAAUAGAGCCCACAUGAUGAUCGUUGUGAAUUACGAUAGUCUGGAUAUCACUCCUAGCCAGUUGAGGUAUGAUAGAAUGUGUGAAUUGUUUGCUACGUUGGAAGACAUUUUGCUAAUGAUGACGAAGAGCGAACUAGUGCGAUAAUAGAUUAGAUUCGAUUGCAGUCCAAAGACAUGAUGUCUAUGAAGACGAGUUGAGGAAGUAAUAACAUUUCGUAGCCUAGUUUGCAUUUAGUUCCCAGUCUAGAGCAUCACUUGACACUGGCAGCGGUACUAUAAAAGAUCCUAAAUGUUCAAAAAGAAAGGGUGAACCGAAGAAACUUUGUCAUAAAAGCUCAUUGGAGUCGAGUUCGAAGAAAAUAAAGGCAGCAUAAACUUCCAGUAAAGGACAGAGAUCGAGAGUGGCGAAAAGCAAUCUUUGACCCGACACACCUAUCCUUCAGUCCUUGUCACAUGCACAAUAUUCAAUGCUGACACAAUUCUCAAAUUCACAAGUCAUAUUUAGCGACGAGUAACGUCAUGCACUAACACAACAAUUGUCAUCUACAAAUUUUAUUCUCACAUCAACAUCAAAUGUUUUGUUUAGAUAGCUCGGUGAGCAUAUGGUUUCAAAUGUGUAUUUAGCAUGUAAGAAAAUGUGAAUUUAGCAUCUUCCCAAAAUUUUUAUGUUUAUGUUAGGUAAUGCAAUGCCAUACUACUGUCCUAAUUUGUCGUACAAUGUUGGAGCACAAUUGGGAAUGAGACCAUCCACAAUGGGUGUUUUUCCCUCUUGGAUUUCAUGGUGUAAGUGGUGUAAUUUUUCUUCUUACAAACAGUUAAUUUCAUAUGGUUCUCCAAUUUACUUGUAAUAAUAAUAUGCUAAACGUCAUUCAAGCCAUUGACUUCACCAACCAACAUAGCAGAUUCGAUGUUUAGUGCCGCCCAUACCAUUCUGCAUAUUGCUAUUGUGGAAGGUCCUUCUAGUCUUGUUCAGAAUCCGAGUUUAGGAAUUUCUCAUCAAGAUCCUGUAAGUGAUAUUGCAAUGACCUUUCAACAUGCUAGUUCAUCAAGGGGACUACUAUUUAAUUCCUAUAAUAUAACUCAAUAGGAAGGUGUCCCAUUUUUUUUUUCAACAUUUGAUGUCAAGGAAUGUGGUCAGACGUGCUUCUCUCUUUCUCUGUGUAGAAGUAUUGUUUGGAUUUUUCCCUUCAAUCUUGUGGUUUUAGAUGUAUUUUAUUUUAGUUUUUGAACUUUUGGGAUAAACAAAAAUGCAAUGUAAUGAACUGUGGCGACAUUGGAAGGAUCGAGAAUCAAUUGUUGUUUGAAGAUA